rnacentral:lncRNA from 1 species
GGGGAAGUGAGUCAGGGCGAGGUGAAACGACGCGGGGAGGGGCGGGGCGAGGUGAGGCUAAGAGUGGCGGGGUGAUGCGGGGCGAGGUGAGGCGAGGCGAGAAGAGGCGGGGCGAGAAGAGGCGGCGUGGUGCGGGGUGGGGUGGGGCGAGGCGAGACUAGAUGGUGCGAGGCGAGGCGAGGCACGGUGACACGGGGCGAGGUUUGAUGAGGCGAGGCAGAGCAGGAGGAAGCGAGGCGGGGCGAGGCGAGGCAAGGUGUGGCGAGACGGGGCCAGGCAUGGUGAGGUGGGGUGAGGCGAAGCGAUUCGGGGCGGGGCGAGACAGGGUGAGGUUGUGUGAGGCGGGGUGAGGCGAGGUGCGGUGGGACGGGGCGGGGAGAGGUUGAACGAGGCGGGGCGGGGCUAGGUGAGGUGGGGCGAGGUUAGGCGUGGCGGGGUGAGGCGGGGCGAGUCGGGGCGAGGCGAGUUGUGGCAGACAAAGCGAGGCGGGGCAAACAGAAGCAAGGCGGCGCGAGGCGAAGGGAGGCAGGGUCGGGCAUGGCAUGGCAGGCGAGGCGGGGCGGGGCGAGGGGAAGUGAGGCGGGGCGAGGCGAGGCAAGGCGGGGCGAGGCAAGGCAGGGCAAUGCGAGGCGGAGCGAGGCGGGGCGGGGCGAGGUUAGGAGUGGUGGGGUGAGGCAGGGUGAGGCGAGGAAAAGCGAGGCGGGGCGAGGAGAGGGGAAGCGAGGCGGGGUGAGGCGAGGGGAAGUGAAGUGGGGCAAGGCUAGGCGAGGUGAGGUGUGGCAGGCGAGGCGAGGCGGGGCGAGACGGGGUAAGGUUGGACGAGGCGGAACAGGGCGUGGCGAGGCGGGUCGUGGCUAGGUGUGGCGGGGUGAGGCAGAGUGAGGCUAGGUGAGGCGGGGCAAGGCAAGGUGGGGAGAGGCGUGGUAGGGCGAGGCAUGGCGAGGCAAGGCGAGGUGAGGCAAUGCAAGGGGGGCUAGGCAAGGUGAGGCGAGGUGGGGCAGGACGAGAUGAGGCUGGAC